rnacentral:rRNA from 1 species
GGGUCAGUAGGUUGGUCGUGCCACCGGUACGUACUGGUCUCACUGAUUCCUCCUUCCUAAAGAACCGUAAUGCCAUUAAUUUGGUGUUGCGGGGAAACAGGACUGUUACUUUGAAAAAAUUAGAGUGUUUAAAGCAAGCUAACGCUUGAAUGCAUUAGCAUGGAAUAAUGAAAUAGGACGAUCGAUCCUAUUUUGUUGGUUUCUAGGAUUGACGUA